UACGAAGGGUGCAAGCGUUACCCGGAAUUACUGGGCGUAAAGCGUGCGUAGGUGGUUCGUUAAGUCUGUCGUGAAAGCCCCGGGCUCAACCUGGGAAUGGCGAUGGAUACUGGCGGGCUAGAGUGCGGUAGAGGAGAGUGGAAUUCCCGGUGUAGCAGUGAAAUGCGUAGAGAUCGGGAGGAACAUCAGUUGCGAAGGCGGCUCUCUGGACCAGCACUGACACUGAGGCACGAAAGCGUGGGGAGCAAACAGG
rnacentral:rRNA from 1 species